AGGACAAACGCUGGCGGCGCGCUUAACACAUGCAAGUCGAACGGGGCUCGGGUCCUUCGGGAUCCGGGUUCAGUGGCGAACGGGUGCGUAACACGUGAGCAACCUGCCCUGAUGUGGGGGAUAACCUCGGGAAACCGGGGCUAAUACCGCAUGGGCUCCUCUGGGUCACCUGACCUGGGGAGCAAAGGUGCUGUCAAAGGCACUGCAUUAGGAGGGGCUCGCGGCGUAUCAGCUAGUUGGUGGGGUAACGGCUCACCAAGGCAGCGACGCGUAGGGGGUCUGAGAGGAUGGCCCCCACAUUGGGACUGAGAUACGGCCCAGACCUACCGUACGGGAGCGAGCGAGUAGGGGGAAUUCGUUGACG
rnacentral:rRNA from 1 species